rnacentral:pre_miRNA from 1 species
AGACUCUAGCUCUGGUUACACAUGGCCUGGCCCUUCGUGUAAUAAUAUGUGUGUAGCCAGGGCUUGGGCCUG